rnacentral:rRNA from 1 species
GACGAACGCUGGCGGCGUGCUUAACACAUGCAAGUCGAACGGAAAGGCCCUGCUUUUGUGGGGUGCUCGAGUGGCGAACGGGUGAGUAACACGUGAGUAACCUGCCCUUGACUUUGGGAUAACUUCAGGAAACUGGGGCUAAUACCGGAUAGGAGCUCCUGCUGCAUGGUGGGGGUUGGAAAGUUUCGGCGGUUGGGGAUGGACUCGCGGCUUAUCAGCUUGUUGGUGGGGUAGUGGCUUACCAAGGCUUUGACGGGUAGCCGGCCUGAGAGGGUAACCGGCCACAUUGGGACUGAGGUACGGCCCAGACUCCUACGGGAGGCAGCAGUGGGGAAUAUUGCACAAUGGGCGGAAGCCUGAUGCAGCAACGCCGCGUGCGGGAUGACGGCCUUCGGGUUGUAAACCGCUUUCGCCUGUGACGAAGCGUGAGUGACGGUAAUGGGUAAAGAAGCACCGGCUAACUACGUG